UACAGAGGGUGCGAGCGUUGUCCGGAAUCACUGGGCGUAAAGGGCGCGUAGGCGGCUUGGUAAGUAGGGGGUGAAAUCUUGCGGCUCAACUGCAAGGCUGCCUCCUAAACUGUCAGGCUUGAGCACAGUAGAGGCAGGUGGAAUUCCCGGUGUAGCGGUGGAAUGCGUAGAGAUCGGGAAGAACAUCGGUGGCGAAGGCGGCCUGCGUGGGCU
rnacentral:rRNA from 1 species